rnacentral:misc_RNA from 1 species
GGAAAUAGGUCCUUAGUGUUGUCAGGAAAUGUACCAAGUUUUUGCAAAAUCAACAUAAUACUUGCAUAAAAACUGUUGUUAGAUAUGCCAGAUUAAAAGGGAUUAUAUUUUAAGGAAUUUGUAGAUCAGCUUGUUAAUGAAUUUUUGUUUCUCAUACCCUCUUAACAUCGAAAACAAUCAUACUGAUUUCAGGAAUAUAUGAUCCUACUUCUGCA